CCUACGGGUGGCAGCAGUGGGGAAUAUUGGACAAUGGGCGAAAGCCUGAUCCAGCCAUGCCGCGUGUGUGAAGAAGGCCUUCGGGUUGUAAAGCACUUUCAGUGGGGAAGAAAGCCUUGGGGCUAAUACCCUCGAGGAGGACAUCACCCACAGAAGAAGCACCGGCUAACUCCGUGCCAGCAGCCGCGGUAAUACGGAGGGUGCGAGCGUUAAUCGGAAUUACUGGGCGUAAAGCGCGCGUAGGCGGUCUGAUAAGCCGGUUGUGAAAGCCCCGGGCUCAACCUGGGAACGGCAUCCGGAACUGUCAGGCUAGAGUGCAGGAGAGGAAGGUAGAAUUCCCGGUGUAGCGGUGAAAUGCGUAGAGAUCGGGAGGAAUACCAGUGGCGAAGGCGGCCUUCUGGACUGACACUGACGCUGAGGUGCGAAAGCGUGGGUAGCAAACAGGAUUAGAUACCCCGGUAGUC
rnacentral:rRNA from 1 species